GGCAGGUACAGAGGGAUGCUACCGGGCGACCGGAUGCGGAUCUCGAAAGCCUGUCCCAGUUCGGACUGGAGUCUGCAACCCGACUCCACGAAGUUGGAUUCGCUAGUAAUCGCGCAUCAGCCAUGGCGCGGUGAAUACGUUCCCGGGCCUUGUACACACCGCCCGUCAAGCCAUGGGAGCCGGGGGCGCCUGAAGUCCGGGACCGCGAGGACCGGCCUAGGGCGAAACUGGUAACUGGGGCUAAGUCGUAACAAGGUAUC
rnacentral:rRNA from 1 species